rnacentral:rRNA from 1 species
UACGUAGGGUGCGAGCGUUGUCCGGAAUUACUGGGCGUAAAGCGUGCGCAGGCGGUUUUGUAAGUCUGUCGUGAAAUCCCCGGGCUCAACCUGGGAAUUGCGAUGGAGACUGCAAGGCUAGAAUCUGGCAGAGGGGGGUAGAAUUCCACGUGUAGCAGUGAAAAUGCGGUAGAGAUGUGGAGGAACACCGAUGGCGAAGGCAGCCCCCUGGGUCAAGAUUGACGCUCAUGCACGAAAGGCGUGGGGAGCAAACAGG